UACGUAGGGGGCAAGCGUUGUCCGGAUUUACUGGGUGUAAAGGGCGCGCAGGCGGGUCGGUCAGUCAGAGGUGAAAGCCUGCAGCUUAACUGCAGAACUGCCUUUGAUACUGCCGAUCUUGAGUUCGGAAGAGAGAAGCGGAAUUCCAGGUGUAGUAGUGAAAUACGUAGAUAUCUGGAAGAACACCGGUGGCGAAGGCGGCUUCUUGGUCCGCAACUGACGCUCAGGCGCGAAAGCGUGGGUAGCAAACAGG
rnacentral:rRNA from 1 species